UAUGACGUUAGCGGCGGACGGGUGAGUAACACGUGGGCAACCUGCCUGUAAGACUGGGAUAACUUCGGGAAACCGAAGCUAAUACCGGAUAGGAUCUUCUCCUUCAUGGGAGAUGAUUGAAAGAUGGUUUCGGCUAUCACUUACAGAUGGGCCCGCGGUGCAUUAGCUAGUUGGUGAGGUAACGGCUCACCAAGGCAACGAUGCAUAGCCGACCUGAGAGGGUGAUCGGCCACACUGGGACUGAGACACGGCCCAGACUCCUACGGGAGGCAGCAGUAGGGAAUCUUCCGCAAUGGACGAAAGUCUGACGGAGCAACGCCGCGUGAGUGAUGAAGGCUUUCGGGUCGUAAAACUCUGUUGUUAGGGAAGAACAAGUACGAGAGUAACUGCUCGUACCUUGACGGUACCUAACCAGAAAGCCACGGCUAACUACGUGCCAGCAGCCGCGGUAAUACGUAGGUGGCAAGCGUUAUCCGGAAUUAUUGGGCGUAAAGCGCGCGCAGGCGGUUUCUUAAGUCUGAUGUGAAAGCCCACGGCUCAACCGUGGAGGGUCAUUGGAAACUGGGGAACUUGAGUGCAGAAGAGAAAAGCGGAAUUCCACGUGUAGCGGUGAAAUGCGUAGAGAUGUGGAGGAACACCAG
rnacentral:rRNA from 2 species